rnacentral:rRNA from 1 species
GACGAACGCUGGCGGCGUGCUUAACACAUGCAAGUCGAGCGGUAAGGCCCUUCGGGUACACGAGCGGCGAACGGGUGAGUAACACGUGGGUGACCUGCCUCUAGCUCUGGGAUAAGCCUGGGAAACUGGGUCUAAUACCGGAUAUGACUCCACGGCGCAUGUUGUGGGGUGGAAAGCCUUGUGUGGCUAGAGAUGGGCCCGCGGCCUAUCAGCUUGUUGGUGGGGUGAUGGCCUACCAAGGCGACGACGGGUAGCCGGCCUGAGAGGGCGACCGGCCACACUGGGACUGAGACACGGCCCAGACUCCUACGGGAGGCAGCAGUGGGGAAUCUUGCGCAAUGGGCGAAAGCCUGACGCAGCGACGCCGCGUGAGGGAUGACGGCCU